AAGCACUCAGCACUGCUUGGUCCCCUCACACCCCGUGCAGUGCGUGUGAAAUCCCACCGGUGUGCACCUGGGGUUCUGUGCUGCCCGCUCAGCCACGGAGCUCAGCAGGGCCCAGCGCCCGCAGCAUUGGGGCAGUGGUGCUGUGGGGACGAGAGGUGGCAGAGCCCGGUGUCAGCGUGGUGCUGGGCCUGGAGCACAGUGACCAACCAGGAUUUUAUUCUUGCGUUUCAUCCACCCAGGUUUGUGAUUCGGUGAUUCGAUGUCUGUGUCUCGGUACCCAGGUCAGAAGAAUGAAGAAUGGCUGUAUCACCUUGCUGGUGAUGUCCAUCCCAUCUGUGUCCCUCAGCUCCCACCAGAACAGGAGGUCAGCACGUGAAAGCCCACCUGCAGGAGAGAGGACUUUCUGGAAGGCAAGUUCAGCCUUGCUAUCUGCGCCUGGCAUGUAGAAUGAAGACUGGAUCGUUUGGAGCAAAGGCCUCCCUGCAGUCACUGACAGCAGGGGGUUUGCAGACAGCUCAGCAGGAUGUCCUGGGACCAGUGCAGCCCAACUGGAAGUACCAGCGAGCUGAAAAACUCCCUUCAGAAGCACUCAGCCAUGGCCUACUGAGGAACUGCAAAGGCCUCGUCUGAGAUGUGCAGAAGGCUCACACCAAUUUAAAGAUGCAUGAAUUCUGCUCUGUCAUAACCAUAUGAUGCCAGAAAGACCUGCUGCUGCUUCGAGUGACCAACUGCUCGUCUGAUGGCAGCUCUGAAGUCCAAAAUGAGAUUCCUCUGCGUAAGGACUGGCUAUUCAGAGAUGCACGUGGAGUCCUGCAACUGCUCCUGAAAUGAGUGGAACUGACUUCAGGCACCACUGCAAAACACUGCUGGCUCUCCCGGACGCCUUUUUUUAAUUGAAGACGCUCGGAUGUUACAAGGUGCUUCGAACAAGAUGGCAGACGUAUUACCAACCCGAGGAGGACUGCCUUUCUGGAACUGAACACGGCACCUGAUAACCAACCACUGCACCACUUCCUCAGAAGAAUGCAAUGUGCGUCGUACACCGAAGUCAUACUGUAACAGCAACAGAAGCAGCUGUGUUUGCAUUGCCCACUCGCAGGUGAAAGCAUGAGGACAUGCAACGGAAAGCCCAGCAUUUUCAUACGUAAAGUAGGCAACCAAAGAAGCAUAUGAGAAUUCGUACAAAGAGAUUUUAAAAGAAAUUUAAUGAUAGACUUCUUAAACUCCCAAAUCGCUGUCGGACAAUAUAUAUGUUCAAAAACCUAUAAAAAUAUUUUAAAACAAUGUAUUUUCCUUUCCCUUGGCUGCCAAGAUCUCCAUUAGGAGGUUUGUGUUUCCUUCCAGCAUUAAAGAAUAUCUCUAACAUCUGUAGCAAUGAGCGGUGAGGAGUGUCAGUUCUGCUUCGGAAAGAAGCGGUGCCAUUUGGAAGGGGAAGAGGCGAUGAUGACUGCGCCUCUGAGAGCAGCCUGCUGUGCAGCAGGAGGUGUGCAGGGCCUCUUGCAGGGCUGCGCUUUCCGAGUUUGUUCUGCACACCUCUGAGGGACGCAGUCAGGUACGCAGGGCUUGGCCAGUGGGAAAAGCACUGCCGGGAGGUGCUGAGCCCAGCCUGCAUGCUGCUGAACACUGCUUGUGUGCUCCCCUGCCUGAUUUCCGGGUCAGAAAUGUCAUAUGAUCUGCAGAACUGACAGAGCCAGAGCAGUUCACAAACACUUCCCAGCAAAGUGACCUCGCCCUGAAGAAGGAAACACAACCGAUUCCCACCAGGAGUUUGGAACUGUGCAAACAGUGCCCGACGUUCUGAGGGAGCUGAGUGUGAUUCUCCUUCCUAACACUGCACCAUCUCUGUUUAGCAUGACGGCUCUCACAGAUAUUCCAGGUGUUCCCUAAUUUUAAGUGGAAAAUUCCCUUGAAUUCUGCAGGAAAUAAAGCAGCCGGGGGAUCCUGCCCCAUCCUUAAGGAGCCACGUAAACAGGCGUGAGUGACACUCAAGCUUAAAGACAACCAAAAGGGGAAAAAAAUGACAAAGUUUCCAAAACCUUUUGGGUGCACCUCAGUCUCAGAGCUGCACUGCCCGGCUGUGCUUCCCUAGAAAUGCCUGUGGGUGCCAGCAGUUGGGACAGCAGUUGGCAGUCGUAGCAGCAGAGGUGUGCACACGUAUUGCCCACAAAGACACGGCUGCUGCAGGGGCUGUGCCUGCAGGGUUUGUGAUGGGACUCCUGAUGUGUGUCAGAGACAGAGGCUGAAAUCCACGGUGGCUGAAAGGAAAGAUAACGCACUGCUCCUCGACCUGAACUGCAAUGGGAAGGGGGAAAUAUCAGUGUUAAUCUUGCUACUCGAGCCUGAAUCUAUGUUAUAUUUUGCUUAACUUUUCCGGCUUGUUUGUAAUUCUGUCUAUAAUAAACGUAUGGCUUUAUAUUUAUUAUCUGCAUAUAGGCUGACUCAAAAACGUGAAUUCAUCCUUAAUUAUUUUUUGUGUGUUAAAGUUACACCCUCAGUGUUAUUUUAACGUAGGGCUUUUUUGUAAUGUAAUGAUAUUUAAUUUGCAUUAGCACAAGUGACAUACAAUAGAUCAUGCUAUUAUCAUGAUUGAUAUCAGAUGAACGGGCAUAAAUUCAACAUUAUAAAUUGAGCCUAUAAAUGAAACUAUUAUUUUACAGGAAUUACUGUAGUAGAAAGGCUAAGGACCCUCAAGUCAACCUUAGUCAAACCCACUCUUUAGACUUUUAUAUUUUAUGCCUGCAAUAAAUGCUUUCGUGAAAGCCCAUAACCGGCAAAAAAAAGUCAUUGGAAGUCUAUUAAUUAUAAUAAUACCAUCCAAAAAGCUGCGAGGGCUUAUUUUUGUGACAUCACUCUUUGAUUUCUUACUGCCUUAAAUUAUCCCUUUGUUGGCUGGGUGAGGGUAACAGUCAUACUUUUGUCAUUAAAUAUAAGGAGUUUUAAAGCCUGAUCCACCUUAGCUCUAAUUGAUAUUGCUUUCAUUUGGCAGAUAGUGACCUGAUUUAUAAUUUAAAUAUGCAUCAUUAUGUGCACCUCUUCUGUAUAAUGAAAAAGCGAAGUUACUCUCAUCUUUUCCUGCAAUGUUAACAUCAAGGAAAAGUAUCUUUCUUUUUUCCCUUUUAUACUCAGAGCCUAAUUGAAAACUGUUCAUUGAAUUUCAACAUGAUAGAAAAGUCUUUUUAUCUCUCAAUUUGUCCAUUAGCUAUUAUAAUUGAAGUAUCUGCUACACGGCUGAAUUGAUAUUGUUCUUGUUUAAAUUCUGGAUUUCUCUAAAUCUCCUAUGAGGCAUCAACUAAAAAAAUGUGGGUUAGGAGACACCAGCUAACAGUGCUGCCGAAAUGGGGCGUUAGGCGAGCACUCCACGUGUGUGCAGCUACAGAAAGUAGGAAGUCAUCUAAUUUUACUGGAGAACGUGUUGCAUAAUAAUCCUAACAGCAUGACCAUAAGGUUUGCUAAUUGCCACAUCUGUUUAACGGCUGUCAGAUGUUUGCCAUAUGCUGCCAUCAAUAUUACAGCAGAGUACAUUACGGGGAGUUUUAUUGUGUUCGACUGUUAUUUAUUUGCCACAGACAUUACUGCAGCCAGUGACGUCUAUUUAUGUUAGAUCACUAAUUAUAUUUUAAAAGCUGCAUGUAAAAUCCCUGUUUUCCAGCUUCCUUAGGCCCUAUUUCUGAUGAUGUAACCAAUAACUUUUUCCUUACAGAUCUCUGGACUGAUUUAUAAAUUUCUCUCUCCGUCUGGUAAAUAAUUCUUCAGUAGAAUAACUUAUUUAUGCUGUUUUUGAAGGGUAUUUCUGUACCCAAGUUAGCUUCUAAUGGUGUUGUUUGUAGGAGCUCAGAAAUAACUUUCUUUUUCAAAGAGCCCACUUCACCCCAUGCUUUUUUUCAACGGUACACGGAUCGUGGGUGGAAGAUAAUUCAGUGCUCACAGCUAGGGAUGCUGGGUACCUUCAUUCUAAGCCCAGCCUGCCCUGUACCCACCACAUGACCUUGAUUCCUUACAGGACCUUAAUUCUCAUUUGCCAUUCUGUAAGCUAAUAGCUUCUGCACAGCCGUACUGUACCUACAGAGCAGUACCUACAGAGCUCACCCAUUGAACGCCUGUAGGGAGCACCAGGUGAUGCAGCAGUGCUACCAUUAAGGCACAGAAAUAGGGCUCAUCUCCGCUGGUCUUUUGAACAUUCUUUCUUGCUUUAUUUAAAUGACCUUUCAAUCGGUCUCUGCAUUGCUUUUGCGUUACAUGUAGCUGCUGCAGCAGUGAAAUAGGAAGCAGGGAUUGACAAAGUGCAGACUAGGCAAAAUAUGCGUGAUGUGAUUUAAUAUGAGUUGAUAGGUGUCACUGAUCUCUAUUAUAAAUAGACUGUGUGAAUUCCAUAUGAUGUAUUAUUUAUCUAUUGUAGAUGCCUUUUUGUUUCAUUAAUAAAGCUGGAAAUCAGACAUAUACGUUUCCAAUGAUGAGUUUUUGGCAAUACAAGGCAUCGUGGUAUUUGUCUGCAAUUGCUCAAUUAUUUUGAUGAUUUUCUUCUUCUUUCCCCAUAAAUGAUUAAUGCUUGAGAUGUUUGCUCAAGAUUCUUCUGAUUUUAGCUCAUUUGUCCAGCUGAAGUCUUUUUUCCCUCUCUGAUGAAAGGAGAUUACUGCAGUGUAAGGACGUACACUUUGACCUGAGCUGUAGCUCCUUUGGAGCGCUGUGCUGUAGCACACAGCAGAGGUCCUCUGACUGAGGUCUGUGAGGUUUGGUAACUCCAGCAAAACUCACAUCAGCAAUGCGCAUUCAGUUUAAAUCUGCUUCAAAGCAGAAACUCAUUUGCUCUUGUUCUACCUGCAGUUAAAAACGUUCCCCAGGUAUUUCUGUGCUUGAGAGUGUCCAUCGCUGCUUACAUAGGUAGGAAAGACUUCACAUUUCAAAACCCUGAAGCGAGCCGUAAGAAGCAGCCAGCAGUGCCUCCUGCCUACUCUUUCUGAAGAUGCUCAAGCCAAGAUAUCCUUGAGGACGUCAAAGCUUAAAACAAAAGGCAGAACUGGGGGUGGUGCCGGGCGCAGGACACAGCCCUCGGCCCUGGGGGGACGGAUGGCAGCGGCACCGGCAGCGCUGCCCGCAGCAGGAGGUGCUGCGCUCCCCUGAGGUCUGCCUUCCGAGAACACCUCCAUCGUAACUGAAAUGCGUCUGCCUUCUGCAUUUGAUCUCCUUAUUUUCUUCUCAUAUGCCUUUUUAAUGCUGUUUGUAGCCAUUUCAAUUAUGUGAUUUCCUUAUCUGUAUACCAUUGAGAAUACUGUAC
ensembl:lncRNA